rnacentral:rRNA from 1 species
CCUUGCCAUUAGUUGCUACGAAAGGGCACUCUAAUGGGACUGCCGGUGACAAACCGGAGGAAGGUGGGGAUGACGUCAAGUCCUCAUGGCCCUUAUAGGUGGGGCUACACACGUCAUACAAUGGCUGGUACAAAGGGUUGCCAACCCGCGAGGGGGAGCUAAUCCCAUAAAGCCAGUCGUAGUCCGGAUCGCAGUCUGCAACUCGACUGCGUGAAGUCGGAAUCGCUAGUAAUCGUGGAUCAGAAUGUCACGGUGAAUACGUUCCCGGGUCUUGUACACACCGCCCGUCACACCAUGGGAGCGGGUCUCGCCAGAAGUAGGUAGCCUAACCGCAAGGAGGGCGCUUACCACGGCGGGGUUCGUGACUGGGGUGAAGUCGUAACAAGGUAGCCGUAUCGGAAGG